rnacentral:rRNA from 1 species
AGCAGCCGCGGUAAUUCCAGCUCCAAUAGCGUAUAUUAAAGUUGUUGCAGUUAAAAAGCUCGUAGUUGAAUUUCGGAAUCUGUCCGUUGGUCGGGCUUCACUGUCCGUACUGAUGUGAUGGGUUCUUACCUUCUGAAUAACCAUCAUGUCAUUAAUUUGGUGUGUUGGGGAAGCAGGACUAUUACCUUGAAAAAAUUAGAGUGCUCAAAGCAGGCUAGUGCCUGAAUACAUUAGCAUGGAAUAAUAAAAUAGGACGGCAUGGUUCUAUUUUGUUGGUUUCUAGGAUCACCGUAAUGAUUAAUAGGGAUAGUUGGGGGCAUUAGUAUUCAAUUGUCAGAGGUGAAAUUCUUGGAUUUAUUGAAGACUAACUUCUGCGAAAGCAUUUGCCAAGGAUGUUUUCAUUAAUCAAGAACGAAAGUUAGGGGAUCGAAGACGAUCAGAUACCGUCGU